AUUGAACGCUGGCGGAAUGCUUUACACAUGCAAGUCGAACGGCAGCACGGGGGCAGCCCUGGUGGCGAGUGGCGAACGGGUGAGUAAUACAUCGGAACGUGCCCGGUCGUGGGGGAUAACGUAGCGAAAGUUACGCUAAUACCGCAUACGAUCUGAGGAUGAAAGCGGGGGACCUUCGGGCCUCGCGCGAUCGGAGCGGCCGAUGUCAGAUUAGGUAGUUGGUGGGGUAAAGGCCUACCAAGCCGACGAUCUGUAGCUGGUCUGAGAGGACGACCAGCCACACUGGGACUGAGACACGGCCCAGACUCCUACGGGAGGCAGCAGUGGGGAAUUUUGGACAAUGGGCGCAAGCCUGAUCCAGCCAUUCCGCGUGCAGGACGAAGGCCUUCGGGUUGUAAACUGCUUUUGUACGGAACGAAAAGGCUCUGGCUAAUACCUGGGGCUCAUGUCGGUACCGUAAGAAUAAGCACCGGCUAACUACGUG
rnacentral:rRNA from 1 species